AUUGAACGCUGGCGGCAUGCCUUACACAUGCAAGUCGAACGGCAGCGGGGGAGAAGCUUGCUUUUCCUGCCGGCGAGUGGCGAACGGGUGAGUAAUACAUCGGAACGUGCCCUGUAGUGGGGGAUAACUAGUCGAAAGAUUAGCUAAUACCGCAUACGACCUGAGGGUGAAAGUGGGGGGCGGCAAGGCCUCAUGCUCUAGGAGCGGCCGAUGUCUGAUUAGCUAGUUGGUGGGGUAAAGGCCUACCAAGGCGACGAUCAGUAGCUGGUCUGAGAGGACGAUCAGCCACACUGGGACUGAGACACGGCCCAGACUCCUACGGGAGGCAGCAGUGGGGAAUUUUGGACAAUGGGCGAAAGCCUGAUCCAGCAAUGCCGCGUGUGUGAAGAAGGCCUUCGGGUUGUAAAGCACUUUUGUCCGGAAAGAAAUGGCUCUGGUUAAUACCUGGGGUCGAUGACGGUACCGGAAGAAUAAGGACCGGCUAACUACGUGCCAGCAGCCGCGGUAA
rnacentral:rRNA from 1 species